rnacentral:misc_RNA from 1 species
UGGCUCUCGCAUCGAUGAAGAACGCAGCGAAAUGCGAUAAGUAAUGUGAAUUGCAGAAUUCAGUGAAUCAUCGAAUCUUUGAACGCACCUUGCGCCCCUUGGUAUUCCGAGGGGCAUGCCUGUUUGAGUGUCAUUAAAUUCUCAACCACUCUUAGCUUUUGCUAAGCAGUGGCUUGGACAUGGGGGUCUUUUGCUGGUCUCGAAAGAAAUCUGCUCCCCUUAAAAAUAUUAGCUGGCAUCCUAUGUGGAACUGUCUAUUGGCGUGAUAAUUAUCUACGCCGUUAGAUGUCUACAAUAUUAUUGGGUUAUGCUGCUUCUAGUCGUCCUUUUUGGACAAUUAUUGACCAUUUGACCUCAAAUCAGGUAGGACUACCCGCUGA